rnacentral:lncRNA from 1 species
UGGAGAAGGCAUACAAGAAUUCGGAAAUGGUUGAUAUUGUUGUGGAGCAUCAUACCAUCCCAAGCUAGGGUCAGUCCACCCAGGAUCGUUGCUAUGAUCAUACCGCACAGGGGAGAAUUUGUCAAGAAACUGAUGCUCAAGAUCUUCCCAACAGGUGACGGAUCCAGGAGUAAUACAACAACACCAAUCCCUUGCCGCUCCAUGUAAUGAGUACUCAAAUGCCCUUAAGAACAUGUCCUCAUCCGGGACAUCUGGAGGUUUCAUUGAAGAGCAUA